rnacentral:rRNA from 1 species
AGUGAACGCUGGCGGUAUGCCUAAUACAUGCAAGUCGAGCGAACAGACGAUGAGAUUUUUCCUCUGCGGUUAGCGGCGGACGGACGGGUAAGAAGUGGAUCAGAUUCUUCUUUUACUUGGAUGACUUCGUAAAACAGCUUAUACUACUACCUCAUACAUUCUACGGCUUAAUUCAAUAGUGCUUGACGGUUUUGCUGUCACAUUUAGCUGGUUCCGCGUCGCAUUAGCUAGUUGGUAAGGUAACGGCUAACCAAGGCAACGAUGCGUAGCCGACCUGAGAGGGUGAUAGGCCACACUGGAACUGAGACACGGUCCAGACUCCUACGGGAGGCAGCAGUAGGGAAUCUUGCACAAUGGGCGCAAGCCUGACGCAGCAACACCGCGUGGGUGAAGAAGGUCUUCGGAUUGUAAAGCCCUUUUGUUAGGAAAGAAAAAAAGUGGAAGAAACUACGGACGUCUUGACGGUACCCAAAGAAAAAGCAACGGCUAACUUCGUG